UCCUGGUUAUAAAUCGAAAUUGAAUUUACCAGAGUACUAUGAAUAUUAUAAAAUUUAAAACUCAAAGGACUUGGCGGUGUUUUAGACCAUUUAGGGGAACCUGUCCCAUAAUCGAUAAUCCGCGUUACACCUAACCUUUUUUUGCUUUCAGCUUGUAUAUCGUUGUCGUCAGGUAACUUUUUAGAAAUUAGAAGUUAGCUAAAAAUAGUAAGUUUAAACGUCAAAUCAAGGUGCAGCUAAUAAAAAGGUGAGGAUGGGUUACAAUUAUUUUAAUUAUAAUUAUGGAAAAUCAUAAGAAUCAAUGAUAACGAAAGAGGACUUAAAAGUAAAUUAGAUUAUAUAAAUAAUUUGAAUAAGGCUCUGAAAUGUGC
rnacentral:rRNA from 1 species